rnacentral:misc_RNA from 1 species
GAUGAAGAACGUAGCGAAAUGCGAUACGUAAUGUGAAUUGCAGAAUUCAGUGAAUCAUCGAAUCUUUGAACGCAUAUUGCGCUCUUUGGUAUUCCGAAGAGCAUGCUUGUUUGAGUAUCAGUAAACACCUCAAAAGAUUUUCAUUUUUGAAAUGAUUUUGGACUUGAGCAAUCCCAACACCAGUCUUCACGGAUCGGCGGAGGGUUGCUUGAAAUGCAGGUGCAGCUGGACAUUCUCCUGAGCUAAAAGCAUAUCUAUUUAGUCCCGUCAAACGGAUUAUUACCUUUGCUGCAGCUAACAUAAAGGGAGUUUGACCAUUUUGGCUGACUGAUGCAGGAUUUCACAAGGGUCGGUAAAACGAUUUUUGUAAAACUCGAUCUCAAAUCAAGUAAGACUACCCGCUGAACUUAAGCAUAUCAAUAAGCGGAGGA